rnacentral:sRNA from 1 species
GGUUUUUUUCUCCCGGCGCCAGAAUCCGGUUGGGUUGUUGUGAUUCCCUUUGCAUUCCGAAACCUAACAGGAUCGAUCAACUUUGAUGCACGAUUCACAAAGCAACAGUGAAGCGGUGCAAGCCACCAACGAUGACGCCUCCGGCAGCACAUUGUUCGCCCAUCUCCUUUUCUCUUUCUUUUUUUGCCUAAGACCAAUGCAUAUGCAGGCUUUUUAAUUGGUGAAUUAGGAACGGGUUUAUCUAGAAGCUGUUUUGUUUUUCUAAGCGUGUUUUUCCCGCGAAAAAAUGACAUACGAAUAUGAUAUUUUAUUACGUUUUUGUCGGUUUAUUAGAAUUGCUCCAUCCUUCCCACUUUUUUUUUUGCCGGUGUUUAGAUUCUAAAACUAAUGAGUUUUCCAUCAUCUAUUCUCUCUGAAAUUUUAAUUCGUUGUGUGUAAAUAUUUUCUUCUACUUCUUGGUUUUUGGCAUUGUUUGCUUUCUCUAGAUUGGCUUGUCAGAGGUGUUAAGGUUGCAUUCAGACCUGGCAAGAUGGAUGUUAUAGAAGGUUAAUCUAGAUGGUUCCUUUGGAGGAUUCUAAUGUGAAUAAGCGUUAUGUGUGCAAAAAGGGAUACAUGAAAGAUGACUACAUUCAUUUAUUUGUGAGAAACUCCAAUUAUUAAUUGAGGUGGGACUUGUGUUCUUGAAGUUUCUUGAUGUAGAGAAGAAAUCAGAUGAAGAUGCCCCUGUAAAGAAGCAGAUAUUAUCACUCGGAGCAGGCUUUUAUGCAACAUAUUUUCAGUUGCACGUGCCAUCUUAAUGUGUUCUGAUCAACUUGGAUCCUGAUUCAACUCGUGCAAUUGUUGGUUGGGCUUCCUAAACUUUUUCUGCAGCAAUAUUUUUUUUGUAUGAGUAGAUCCCACCCAGAUGAUGCUUUUGGAGAACAAAUGAUACGGAAUUUAGAGAGUUGAGGUUGUGCUCUGUUGGGCAUUCUACACCAAGGUUACUUGCAAAGGAAAAAUAAUUUCUAGACCAAGGAUGGGGCAGGUAUACAGUGUAAAUUUUUCUAGAAAGGGUCCUUUUUUUUAAUUUUUUAAACUUAUUACAGUGCAUCUGAUUGGUUAUUCAAUUUACAAUUCUGGAAAAAACGUCUAAAUGAUGAUAAAUGGGUCAUCUAGGCAUGAAUAGUCUUAGAACUUACUAGACUAAACUAGAAAUGGUUGAGACUUUUGCAACUCUUGCUAUCAUAACGAUUAUCAAUAUCAGAAAUGGUUCAUCAUGUAGUCUUAGUGUGUAUUUAUUCUACUUCGUAAGUAAUACUAUUUUAAUUUUUCUCGGUAUCAGAUGUCUGUUGCCUGGGAUGAAUUAGAUCUGGAAGUUUGUCUAUAAAAUUUACAAUUGUUAGUGUUUUCUGGUGUUUUAAUGAUAAAAAUUACUGAUUAAUAACAGUAGAAUUAUCUUAGCAAUAGCCUUGCGGCCUGCAAAAGUUAAAGAAUAACAUUCGUAAAACAAAUUUAUGGUAUUCUUGUGUAGCCAUCAUGGUCCUUUCUGUUGUGUCUGACUAGACUAAGAGUACAAUGAUAAACUGUUCAGAACAAAAAUAUUCUUUGGAUUGGGCAAUAUCUUUUUUAAAGUCAUGGUGAACAAACAUAAUGAUGAAAAUAACCAAAUUUCUUUGGUUGGGAGGGUGGUGGUCCCUCAUCAACUCUGCCUAAAUAAGCUUCAGUAAUAUUUGAUUUUUCUUCUAUCUCUUGGCUUCUCUUUUAAAGAAGAAUUUUGCCUGGUUUUGUAUUCCUAUCAGCAUUUUAAUCUGUUCAAGGUACUAUGUUCUAUCUAUAUCUUAUGAUUGCCAUAUGAUGGAACGGCAGGAUACUAAAGUUCAUAUCUUCAUAUGUAAGGCAGUUUUUCCCUGAUCUUCUAUCACCUCUCCUCUUUCUAUCUACUUUAUGGUUGGUAGCCUGUUUCUUUCUUGUAAAUUUUGUUAAAAGAUACUAAGUGUUAGAACUUUACUGUUUAGGAUUGAAUGGAUGGAAUUGUUUGAUGAAUUUGAAGAGUGGUAUAUGAUGCAGGAAAGUCAGCUUUUUAUAAAUGUUCUGUUGUUAAUUGUUUGCUAUAAAAAAUGUAUGAAUUCUGUUGCACACAAUUACUGGGGCCCUGAGUGGGGAAUCUAGGCCAGAGUUAAUCAUCUCUCAUUUUAAGUGGGAAGUGAACUGUUUGUUUUUAUUUCUUCUUUUUAAGAUUCAUUGAUCAGAGAGGAAAAGUAAAUAGUAAAUUUAUAAUAGAGCAUAUUAGUAUGGAAACGUAAUAGGGCAGCAUGUCAUUUAAAUCAAUACCGAAACAAAUGGACCAUGGGUAAUAUCUUUCCCUCCUGGAUUGAAAUUAGAGACCAAAUCACUUUUACUGAACCAUUUCUAGCAGUCUUAGAUUAAGAUGAUUAUGAUGAUGAUGAUGAUGAUGAUGAGUGAAUAGAAAAUUUUAAUAGGAAAAAAAGGAUGUGCUGGGGUGGGAAUUGGAGUCUGUUUCUGAAGAUGAUUCCAAACUAAAAAUAUAAUAUGGUACUCUAAGUUUUUUAGAGCUACACUGGACAAGCAUUGACUGACUUUCACCUUUCAUCCAUGAUGCAGGGUCUAUUUGGGUAUUUUGGUUUUGUUAAUGACAACAAAAGUAGGUUUCCUUCCUCAUGAAAAACGAGGAUACAACACAUAUAUUUAUAUUAUAUUUCUCUUGUGGUGACUGUAACUCUUAAUACAGUCCAGGUAUCACGGUGGCAGGUGCCAGCUCACUGGUAUGUUGUCUGGCAAAAAGGUUUUCUGAUCAACUUGUUAGUUAUUGUAUCAGAAUUCAACUAUUUGAGUAAUUAGUAUUUUUGUAUAGAUCCCUUCAGAUAUUGUUUAUUUGAUGCAAAACACAUAUACUUUAUAUUUUCUGAUAACUGUAUAGUAAAGAAAACGUGGUGGUGUCCACACAGCACCAACUGUUAAAGUCAUACUCUAGGCCUGUGUGGGGAUGUCCAUGUGGAACAAAUACGAAAAUAGUGUGUAAUGUUUUUGCUUUUGAG